rnacentral:sRNA from 1 species
AAAUUUUUCAGGUUCAACGGGUCGGAGAGAAAAGAAGAUACAAUA